GUAAUUGAAGCUGUUUUCCAAGUGCUUCCCUAUACAUUAAACUUGUCCUUUUUGCAUAAUCUCAAAAAAGGCUUUUCAUAUGGAAUGAUCAUCCAUAUGAGGAUUUUCGUUUUAACACUGAACCUUAAAGUGCACUGAACAGAGUAACAGUGUUUGAUAGAAAGCUGCUUUGCAUAUAUUACAACUUGUAAUAUGCAAAAGGAACAAGAUAGUAUCUCUGGUUUGACUUCAAACACACAAUGCAAGAAAACAAUGCUAAAAUCUUAAUUAAAAUAUAUCCUGGUGUUUGUCUUCUGAUAGGAACAUUGUACUCAUUAAUCCUGCUACUCGCUCUUCUGAAUUGUAACUUCAUUGGUACGUACUGAUAAAUAUAUCUGUGUAAAAGUCCCCAAAAUUCAUCCAGUUUGCUUUUAAUUAUGCUAUUUGUUUCUGCACUUUUGUUUGGAUAAUAGAAAAUUUUAGUUUAAACACUAAUUUCUACUCCUUCGCUUUCAGGUCUCCAUGCGCUAACAUAAUACUGCAAGGGAAGUGGGUCUUUUUCCAGAGAUACAUCUGUGCAAGUUUCUCAUUCUAGCAUCUUAGCGUCUUAGUACAGGACUGACUUUUUUUAAUCCUUAAGAGCAGCAGUAGCAGGGUCCUUACUGUCCAUUGAAUUCCACCCCGGUGAUGAUAAAUGCUACCCUCCUACAGUAUCUGUGCUUCAUUUACUCUGCUCCAGCUCUUCUGCAGAGAUCCGGGGAUGUCAUAUCCGAUAUUUUUUCCUCAUAAAUCUUUCCUUCCAGUCAGAUCUGCUUAAAUUAUUGAGGGUUUCUCUGCACUUGAAAACUUAACAAAAUAGUUACUCCAACAGAAGGCAAGUCCUAAAUUUCUAGAGACUUGCCUUUGCUAAUUGGCACUCUGUCAAUAACUUAUUUUGGAAAAACUCCCACCACAUGAUUAAGAUGGCCAAUGAAAAUUGGCAACAUAAAAGAUGGAAAAACAAAAUCUCACAGAAUAGGCUUUUUUUAAUUAAAAACAUAAGAAUGGCCAAACUGGGUAAGACUAAUGGUCCACCUUGACCAGUAUACUGACUUCCAACAGGGCCGGUGCCAGAUGCUUCAGAGGGAAUGAAUAGAACGGGGCAAUUACUGACUGACCCACCCUUUGUCAUGCAGUCAGAGACUUAGGAACGCCCAGGGCAUAGGAUUGCAUCCCUGUCCAUUUUGGCUAAUAGCAAUUGAUUGACCUGUCCUCCCUGAGAAUUGACUUGUGUUAUCAUAGCACCUGGUACCAAUGCUGACAAGCAUACCGUGUUGGCACUCCUUCUAGGCACUGGAGUAGGCUUUUCUACAAAACAUAUGUAGUCAGUGCGUACUUUGUAGAGAAGAACACUAUUGUAGACUGAAUUCACAAGUGGCCUCUGGAUUGGGAAGCAGGCUGGAUCUUCCCCAGGUGAGGCAUGCAAGAGUCUUCACCAUUAAAUGGACCAGGAAGCUUCUUGUCCUCUACCAGUGCCAUCUAGAGAAGACUGUAAUCGCAAGGGACGUUUUCUCCAUUUCACUCUAGAGAAGGAGGCACCUUUAUGCCUUUCCACUAGUCCCUCUGGUAGCUAAAUUAAUAGCAAAGCUCAAAGGUUUGAACUGAAUAACUGUACCUAUUUGGGCCAGUGUAGCACAGUCAACUCUGCAGAGAGCCAAAGCCAAUCCCAUCUGGCUUGAAUCACUCAGGUAUUAAAGGGUUAUUAAAUCCCUUAAAGUCCAGCCAACUGUUUUAUUUUGACACCAAUUUGAUGGACAAUGCGGUUAUCGAGAGGACUGUCUGAAUCUCGCUAUGCUAUGACAUGGUUGACCUCAAACUGGGAGGACAUGUCAAUGCCCGCUAGUUGGUGUUCACUUUGCAGAAUUCAGCAGUAACGGUAAAGAUGCCUUUUUAGAAAAGUUCUUGCCUUGUAAAUAUUUUUUCCUGAGAAACAAUUUUCAGGAAUUUCUCUUCUGUCCCCCUCCUUUCUGCAGUGUGAAGGUAGCUUUUUGAGUUUUUUCUCUUUAAAGUAUGUAUACUAUGUAUCAGUCUCUAAUAGGCCGUGUGAGAUGCAAAGCUCUCAAAGUGUAAACUGACUGGUAUGUUGAGAAGGUGGUGGUUUACUCUGGUAGCAUUCAGUGGACCACUGCUAUUGCCCUUUAAGAGAAGUACAUCCGUGUUGUCCUCUGGAGAUAAGGCUGUAGAUUGAGUCUUAGAAAAGCUUCAGUUAAGAGAUUUUCCUUUUAUUGGUGAUCUAGUGUUUUUUAAAAAAAAAAAAAAAAACCUGAAAAAUCUAAAAUCAACUUUUUUUUGUGACCAGACUAGUGUCCCAAAUCUCUGCUCUCUUGUCUAGUUACUGAUUAAACUUCUUAAAAGGCAGUGUAUUUGCAUUACUAUCUAAAUUGUUUGAAAAUGGAAAUUCUUUAAUAUGCAUUUCUGAUCACUGAAUCUUAUUUUGAAGAUUUCUCAUUGCUUACUUCUGUUUAUGUGAGAAGCACAAGACAGUGGGAAACAUGAAAGCAAUUCUGUUUUUCUGUUCCUUCAGAACCUAUGAUGUAGUCUCGGGUCUGCAGUGAAUAAUAGUGGCAAAGUGGUGGGUGAAUUCAAAUGCUGUGCCUGGGGGAGGGUUUGCAUUUCUCCAUAAUGUUUAGUUACAAACUGUAAAACGUUUGACCUGAAUCUAGUGCCAGAAUCUCUACUGUAAUGUGUCAGAAGUAAGUGAAAUGUAAGCUAAAGAAACAGUAUAGCUUUUAUUGCCCUCUAGAGAUCUUUGUUUGCAAUAACUUCUUACCCUGUUACCAGUUUCUUUACAUUAAACAACUUAAGAUAUUCUUGUACUACACAUUUCUAUAUCAGAACUUUGGCAUGAUUCAUCAUUGCCAAAUGCCAUAUACAAAACAGUUCAACUUCUGAAGCUUUUUUGUGUUAAUUCAAAUUUAGUGCUCUCAUGAGUCUAGCCUUUAAAAUUUCUCCCAAACUUUGCUUUUAAUUCAAAUGCAGAAUUACUUAGGCACAGAGCUGUAGUUUAGUUUUGAAAAUGCACAUUCUCACUAGUGAGAGCUCUUAAUAAAGUUGCGUAACAAACUAUACAGUCAGGCUGUUCUUGGGGCACAAAACAUCAUUCAUCCCAUCAGUUUGCCUUUUUAAAAUGUGGAACUCAUUUUUGGCUCUAGAAGUGGGUGUGAAAUCUCCAUUGACGCAGGGAAACGAGGCAAUUUUUAUCAAAUUCUCUCCCAUUGACAUAGUAAGCAUAGAUCUUUUAGUUCUUCCUUUUUUAUUGACAAGCAGGUAGGGACAAAAUCAGAAAGGUGUAACUCAUUUCAUGAUUUAGGCUAACGAGACAUAAAAAAGCAAUAACAGGUUCUUUAAAUACACUAGGAGCAAGAGAAAGAUGAGGAAAAGCGUAGUUCCUUUGUGUAGGUGUCUGUAGUGGGGAAAGAGAGCUAAUAACUGAUGACAUCAAGAAGGCAGAGACGUUAAUGCCUAUCUUGCUUCAUUCUUCACUAAAAAGCUUAAUGGUAACCAGAUACCCAACGCAAUUAAUUUUAACAUGGGGGAUGGAACUCAAGUCAAAAUAGGGAAAGAACCGGUUAAAGAAAAUAUGAUGCAUUAGAUGUAUUCAGGUUAGCAGGGCUUGAGGAAGUUCAUGCUCAGGUACUUAAGAAGCUAGCUGAAGCAAUUGUGGAAGCUUUAGCAGUUAUCUUUGAGAACUCAUGGAGGACAGGUGAGGUCCCAAAAGAAUGGAGAAAGGCAAACGUAACACCUGUCUUUAAAAGGGGAACAAAGAGGACCUGGGCCAAAUGGCUUAAUGUCAAUACCUGGAAAGAUACUAGAACAAAUUAUUCAACAGUCAAUUUGUAUGCACCUUGAGGAUAGGGUUAUAAGAAAUAGCCAGCAUGAAUUGAACCAAUCAUGCCAAAUCAACCUAAUUUUUUGACAGGGUUACUGACCUGGUGGAUGUGGGGGGGAGGGGGCUGAGCAGUAGAUGUGAUGUAUCUUUAUUUUUUAGGAAGGCUUUUGACAGUCCCAUGGGACAAUCAUGCGGCUAGGGAAAUGUGGUCUAGAUGAAAUUACUUUAAGAUGGAUGCGUAACUGCUUGAAAGACCAUAGCCACAGUAGUUAUCAAUGGCUUGCUGUCCAACAGGGAGGGUAUACCUAGUCCUGGGUCUAGUACAGUGCUAGUUGGUAUUUCAGUUAAUGACUUGGAUAAUGGAGUGGCGAGUAUGCAUAUAAUAUUUUGCAGAUGACAAUAAGUGGGGCUAGGUUGCACUUCAGAGGAUAGGAUUAGAAUUAAAAAACAACCUUGACAAAUUAAAGAAUUGGUCUGAAAUAACAAUGAAAUUCAUAAAGAAAAGUUCCAAGUACUACAAUUAAGAAAAAAUUAAAAGCACAAUUACAAAAUGUGGGGAAUAAUUGGGUAGAAAUAGUAGUACUGUGGAAAAAGAUCUGGAGGUUAGUGGAUCGCAAAUUGAAUGAGUCAAUGUGAUGCAAUUGUGUGAAAGGCUGAUAUCAUUCUGGGAUGCAUUAACAGGAAUGUUGUAAAUAAGUCACGGGGGGGGGAGUGCUUGUCUGGUUUUAUUUGACACUAGCGAGGCUUCACCUGGAGUACUGUCCAGUUCUGGGCAUCACACUUUAAGAAAGAUAAAGAUUAAAUUGGAGAGUCCAGAGGAGAGCAACAAAAAAUGAUAAAAGAUUUAGAAAAACUGACUUAUGAAAAAAGGUUAAAUAAAACUGGGCAUGUUUUGUCCUCAGAAAAUAAGACUGAGAGGGGGACCUGAUACAGCCUUCAAAUAUUUUAGGGACUGUUACAAAGAGGUCAGUGAUUAAUUGUUCUCCAUGUCCACUGAAGGUAGGACAAGAAGUAAUAGGCUUAAUCUGCAGCAAGGAAGUCUUAGAUUAGAUAUUAGGAAAAACUUUAACUGUAAGGAUAGCUAAACUCUGGAAUAGUCUUCCAAAGGAGCUUGUAGAAUUCCUACCACUGGAGGUUUUUAGAAACAAGUUAGACAAACACCUGUGAGGUAUAGUGGAGGUUUACUUGAUCCUGCCUCGGCACAGGUGGCUGUACUUGACCUGUUGAGGUUCCCUCCAGCCUGUAACUGCUGUGGUAAAGUACCUCUCGGUGUAAGAAUUGAAAUGGAUUUGGGAGGUGUGCAGUGAUGCAAUUAAUGUGCCUUGAAUUUUUUUUUUUGCAUGUUUAUACUGUCAAGGCAAGUAGCUAACUCUAAACAGCUGAGCCUGAUUGUAUUGAUAAAAAACAAAGAGCAAGGCUGUUCUGGUAAAUUUCUCAGCUCCUUCUGUGUUUUAAUAAGACUAAUGUUGGAGCAGUGGUGCUUGAGGAGAAAGUGAAGAUGAUGUUACCCUUUUCUUCCUUCUCCCAAGCAGCAGUGUUGCUUUAGAUUAGUGUUGCUCCUGCUGGGCCCUGAGGAAGAAAGCGUGAUGAGGAUUUCAACUGUUUAGACAGGUAGAGACUACUGCAUGCAAAUUGCUUGUUCAGAAGGAGCAAAGUGCACACAAUUCUGUGUGAAGGUGUCGCAAGGGGAAGAGGAACCAUAGGCUUUCCAAAAUAGGAGUAAGUAGGACACAAGUAGAUGGACUUGGUUUACCAAAAGCACUUCAGUUAAGAGCUAAACUUGUUUUCUGUUUGCCAUGCAUAUUGGACUGAAUGAGGUGGAGACAGCACACUGCACCUAUGGGGAGAAGAUGUGGUUCAUGUUGGUCACCAGGGUCGUCUCAAGCCAUCUAAAAGAGCAGCAACAAAUGGCUCAGAGGUGCCUGUCCUAAGGAUAGCUCUGUUAUGCAUUUGCAAGGAGUGUAGUAGGAAAAAGCUUGGCAGAAGCUUAGAAAGAGGCAGAAACAAAAGGUUUGGGAGCAUGAAUGAAGAAUAGAUAAAAUUCAAGGAAGGGGUGCAGAAAUAAUAGCUCAACUUUUGAGAGCAGCCUCUCUUUUUAAGAAUAGCUAACAGCCCGGUACCUUUGUGGGGAUAGUUUGCCAUUGUCUUUUAUAUCUCCACUCAAGGAUAAUCCUGCUGAGCUAUAAACCUAUUUGAAUAUAUGCAUUCAGUGGCACACUUCUUGUGGCAGACAGUAACAGUCCACCCCCAAACGUGCACUAAUAUCAGCAGUUCAUAUACAUUCUAUUGCCUGCCAGUCUUCUCUUGCUUGUGUUGCCACCAAGUGCUCUCACCUGUGAUGAGAUGGCAGUUAAUUUGUCUGGAAGCCGAAAGACUAAAUGCCCAAAAAUCCUUCUCCUCCUUCCCAACCUGAAGGAUUGAGGAGAUAUAAAGUGAAAGCUUUGUUGUAAAUAAUCUAAUGUAACUAAGUCUGAAUAUCUUCAGUUUUAGAGUCUCGAUCACAAGAGCAACCUAAAGUACUGUUAAGAACAAGUGUGUGAGCAAAGGAAUAGUAAGUAUUAUGGACGUGCUAUUUCGGCGCUGAAUGCGUUAGCAAGAAAAUCCAGCUGAUGUGCUUAUUGCUGUUCCUGAUCUGCCUUCCGCUGGCCAAAAGUGUUGGGAGUCCCUUACGAAAACUUCUAGCUUCCUCCUUGACAACCUCCACAAUGCAGUCUCUUCACCUCUGCCAAUAUAAACUUUGAAUAUUAAUUUUUGUGCUUUACCUUAAACUAAACAAUGAAUACUGCAAAGGCUCUAUUUAUUUUCAUGUUUUGUUAGACCUGUGAAGGUUUAUCUGUCCAAAGGCACUGCAUAAUUGCCAGUUAGGGUGAAGUAGAUUGCCAUUAGUAGUAGUGAAGAUUUUAACAUUAUAAUUUGGGUGCGUCCUGCUCCUGAUACUUAGUAACUCCUCCACUGCAUGUUUCGCUUCUUAGUCUUGUUACCAUUGACUUUUUUAGUAGUGAUGAACAGUUCUUCAUUUAGCAUGCAUAUUGGGUUUCUAGAACACACCCGAAAGAGAUGCCAUCAGUUUUUAUCCUUUGAACUAUGUAACAGCAUGUAUGGAGAAGUUCUAACAUUUUUGGAGUCAUUUGACUGGUCAGAGCUUUGAUGUGGUAGAUAAUAGUGCUAUCCCCUUCCAGUUUCUGGACCUCUUAAAUGUGUUAAUGUGGCCUUCUUGUCUAAAGGGGCUUGUUUUUCCAUCUUACUAACUUGACCCAAGAAUCUUGAAAAUUGUGACUUUGCUCAUUGACACUUUUUGAGGUAGUAGUGUGUUUUCAUCAGUACCCUAAAACUUUCUCAUAUAGAGCAAGAACGUAACUAUCAUUUUUUAACUUGGAGCUCUUCAUUCCAGAAGAGAGCUAGAAUAGUACUGGGCACGGUGUAAGGUUAUUGAGACACACACCAGUAACUUAUCCAGACAGAUACCUCCAAUUAUAGACAUGUCAAAAGACAGACAUAUGACCUUUUAUCAGAGACCACAUCUACUCAUUAUUUUUUAGCUGGUUGAGGCUUUGUCCGGAUAGCCCUCAUCCAUGCCCAAAUCUCUACAAUACACGUACUAUGGCUAUGCAUUUGGAGGUUACCUAGUAGGAUUAGUUCGUAUUUGACAUAAAACCUUGUUCAUACUAACUACUUGAUCUAAAUUCCUCAAUAGGGUGCUUAGAUUCUGCAGCUGUCCAGUACACUUAUUGGCAAUUCUGCAGUGGCUUUGGAUAGAUAAACUUCCACAAGUCUAACAAAACACAAAAAUGAAUAACAGUCUUUGCAGUAUUCAUUGUUUAGUUUAAGGGAAAGCACAAACAUUAAUACUGAAAAAGUUAUCGCCUUCAAUGCACUGCAAAAGUUUAUAUUGGCAGAGCGAGAGAACUGCAUUGUGGAGAUUGUCAACAGGGACGUUAGAAGUUUUGGACUCCCAAAACAUUUGGCCACUGGAAGGCAAGUCAGGAAAUGUGUGAUUAGCACAUCAGCUUAAUGUUCUUGCUAAAACAUUCAGCACUAAAAUAGUUAACCUUAAGGUGCUAUUUGUUUGACUUUCAUCCUUUCAGGAAAUCUAUGCUGCUUUAAACAUUAAAGGACCUAAGUCAAAAUUUCAGUCCAUAACAUUGUAAUAACCCUAGAGGCAUAUCAAGAGUGUUUAAAGCUAGGGUGUGCAUUUGGAAAGUACAAAGACUAACCACCUGGGCCAAAACAAAAAUCUUUGAAAUGGACUCCUCAUGUUCUCAGUAUGAAUGUGGUAGUAAAAUACUGGAGGCAACUAGCUUAUAUUACACUUACUGUAACAUUACUAUGCUAAUAUACACCCACAAAAGCAAAAAAAAAAAAAAAAAAAAAAAUUGAGUUGUGGCUUCCAGAUAAUCUUCUGCUUAUAA